rnacentral:lncRNA from 1 species
AUCUUAACUUAAUUUAAUGGUUGAAUUGAGGGUUAUUGAGGUUUAAGUCAGUGAAGGUCUUAGAAAGUAGAAUUUAUAGUCCAGUGAGGAUUUUUUAGAUUUCUUGUAAUUUACUAUUUGGAUUAGAGUGAAAUUUAUGUGAGAAGAUAUUAGACUUAUUUUUCUAUGUGUAUGAGAAUUUUGAGAUCAAUCGAAUAGUGAAAAGAAGAGAUAUUGGCUCUGAGAGAUUGGCAUCAAGGUUGGAGGAGGAGGCUGGCCAAUACCCGAGCACAUUUUUGAGGUUACCGUCUAUUUGAUAAUUUCGAUCUUUUUCAAAAUUUUUGUGCUUGUUUUCAACUUAGUUUUUAAGAAGUUUGAAAAUUUUGAAUUAAGAUCAACUGUUCAUUCAUAAGUUAUUGAGGUUUAAUUUUGUUAUAGAAAUUACUAGGGUUUGGUUAAGAUUUGAUUUAAGGUUAGGAUUUGAUUAGGGUUUGAUUUAGGAUUAGAGUUUGGUUACGGUUUCAUUUAGGAUUUAGGAUUAAGAUUAGGAUUUAAUUAAGAUUUGAUUUAGGAUUAGGAUUUAAUUAGGAUUUGAUUUAGGAUUAGGAUUUGGUUAGGAUUUGGUUUAGGAUUUAGGAUUUGGUUAGGGUUUGAUUUAGGAUUAAGAUUUGAUUUAGGAUUUAGAGUUUGGUUUAAGGGUGGUUAGGAUUUGAUUUAGGAUUAGGAUUUGGUUAGGGUUUGAUUUAGGAUUAGGAUUUAGUUUAGAAUUUAGGAUUUGGUUAGGAUUUGAUUUAGGAUUAGAGUUUGAUUUAGGAUUUAGGAUUUUAUUUGAGAUUAUUUAGGAUUUAAAAAUUAGUUAGUUUUUUGCCUAAAUUUGGAAUGAAGUAAGAUUUCAACUUGGAUUAAAUUAAGAUUGAAUUGAGAUGUGUUUGAGAUAUGUUUGUAAUCAUUUUAAUAUUUCUUUAAGAUUUCUUAUUAUUUCUUUGGAAUUCCUUUGAAGUUUCUCUGAAUUUGAUUAAAGCUUGUUUAAUAUUAUUAGUAUUCUAUUAGAAUUAGAAUUUUGUUGUUGCAAUUUCUAUUCUACCUUCUACAGCCAGGUGCUCGAAGCAUUCUCAAGCAAGACUUCACAUAUUACAACAGUGUGAAUUUUAUAAAUUUAUUGUU